rnacentral:rRNA from 1 species
AGAGUUUGAUCAUGGCUCAGGAUGAAUGCUGGCGGCGUGCCUAACACAUGCAAGUCGAGCGGCAGCGAGGGGUGCUUGCACCCUGUCGGCGAGCGGCGAACGGCUGAGUAACGCGUAGGAAUUUGCCCCAAAGUGAGGAAUAACUGCCCGAAAGGGUAGCUAAUGCCGCAUAUGGUCUUCGGAUUAAAGGAUUUAUCCGCUUUGGGAGAAGCCUGCGUUGGAUUAGGUUGUUGGUAGGGUAAUGGCCUACCAAGCCGACGAUCCAUAACUGGUCUGAGAGGAUGAUCAGCCAGACUGGAACUGAGACACGGUCCAGACUCCUACGGGAGGCAGCAGUGAGGAAUCUUCCACAAUGGGCGAAAGCCUGAUGGAGCAACGCCGCGUGAAGGAUGAAGGCCUUCGGGUUGUAAACUUCUUUUAUGAGUGAAGAAUAUGACGGUAACUCAUGAAUAAGCACCGGCUAACUACGUGCCAGCAGCCGCGGUCAUACGUAGGGUGCAAGCAUUAUCCGGAGUGACUGGGCGUAAAGAGUUGCGUAGGCGGUUUAAUAAGUGAAUAGUGAAACCUGGUGGCUCAACCAUACAGACUAUUAUUCAAACUGUUAAACUCGAGAAUGGUAGAGGUAACUGGAAUUUCUUGUGUAGGAGUGAAAUCUGUAGAUAUAAGAAGGAACACCAAUGGCGUAGGCAGGUUACUGGGCCAUUUCUGACGCUAAGGCACGAAAGCGUGGGGAGCGAACCGGAUUAGAUACCCCGGUAGUCCAA